UUGACCUCGAAUCAGGUAGG
rnacentral:rRNA from 28 species